AGAGAUAACUGGAUUCCAAGGCCCUUUUCAUACAAACCUGUGUCGCUGCAGGGAAGAUGUCGCAUUCGUUUUGUGUCCGACUUGCUAAAUGAUAAUGGUUCUUGGAACUUGGUACUUCUUCAGCAGUACUUCUUAUCAGCUGAUGUGGAAGAAAUCUUAAAGAUACGGGCAUCUCCAAGAUUAGGUGAGGAUGUGAUUGCAAGGGGGCCGGGGAAGCUCGGCGUCUUCACGGUCAAAUCAGCAUAUAUGCUGGCUUUUGAAGUAGCUCACAGAAAUACUGCAGAGGCGUCGAGCACAUCGCCAGAUGGUAGUAGAAAAUGCUGGCAAUAUAUAUGGAGAUGUGAUGUACCCCCCACUGUGCGCAAUUUUGCUUGGAGAUUGACUACUGACUCUUUGCCGACAUGGUGGAAUAAACACAAGAUUGGACUGGAGCUUUCAAGUAGAUGUCCAGUUUGUGGUAUGGAAGAGGAGGACAAUUUCCACCCGUUUGUGAGAUGCCAAUACGGACGUGAUCUUUAUCUAGCCAUGGCCGAGAUUUGGAUUUUACCAUUCCUUGAUUCCCUGUUGCCUGUUGGUAAGGAAUGGCUACUUCACGUACUUGCCCCUUUGAACAUUCAGAGAAGUAUGCUACUGUUAAUUUUUUGGAGAAGCUGGUUCAUUCGGAAUGAGAUAGUACAUCAUAGACCUGCUCCUCCCAUGGAAGUAUCAACAAGGUUUCUUCAGAAUUACUUGGAUGCUCUAAUUGGCAUCAAACUGAACUCACGCUUUGAUCCAGCAAAGGGGAAGUGCAGCAUAUCCUAUGAUCUAAAGUCUAGGUCCGCUGUUGAGCACCCCGUGAAUGGCGAUACACCUUGGAGGCCGCCCCAGCUUGGCUGGGUGAAGCUUAACACGGAUGGGUCUUACUCGUUCGCUGGUGGUGCGGGUGCUGGAAUGAUCUUGCGAGAUAACUCAGGAGCCAUAAUAUUCUCAUCAUGCAGGGCCUUGUUCUCGUGUAGAGACGCUCUGGGGACGGAGUUAUGUGCAUGUAUGGAAGGCUUAUCUUUCGCAAUUCAACGCUCCAAUCUUCCAAUUGCCAUUGAGAUGGACUCGACUACAACCAUGGCUAUUAUUUCAUGCGGCGAGGUGGAUCGCUCAGUUUAUGCUUCUUUGGUUAGUGAAAUUAAAUUCUUGUUGAGUCUUAGGAAGACUUGUAUUACUCAUGAGCGAGUGAUAGACUAG
rnacentral:rRNA from 1 species